rnacentral:rRNA from 1 species
GGAGGGAUAUUCCGCAAUGGACGAAAGUCUGACGGAGCAACGCCGCGUGAGUGAUGAAGGUUUUCGGACUGUAAAACUCUGUUGUUUAGGACGAAAGUGCCUGUUGCAAGUAGUUGCAGGUAUUGACGGUACUGAACGAGGAAGCCACGGCUAACUACGUGCCAGCAGCCGCGGUAAUACGUAGGUGGCAAGCGUUGUCCGGAAUUAUUGGGCGUAAAGAGCAUGUAGGUGGAUACUUAAGUCUGUUGUG